UGGCACCAUGUUAAGAUGUAAUUUACACAGCUAGAAUUUAUAAGAACCUUGAAUUGCCGCCAUUUUAAUACGUUCACUUACCUACGAAGCGCAUCGAUGAUUCUCAAACUUCGAAUUAUAAUAAUGAAAUUAUUUUAUAAUUUUUUUAUUCCGCGAGAAAUAUAUUUUUCGCAAAUUACGAUCGCAAUUAAUAAUCACUUUAUAAAUACAAAAUUUAUUAUUAUUAUUAUUUUUUAUGUUAAAUGUGGAAGAUGGCGCUCGACGUCGAAAGCAGACGACCAGAAAAAGCCACACCGAUGUAAGUAAAGAAUUAAGUCAAAACAAAGUCCUCUGGAUCUAAUUUUAAGUCUUAUAAAUGAAAUAAGAUUAAAUACUUCGACUUCUGAAUGCCAAAGAGCGAGUUACCUGUUGCAUAAACGAUGCAGAAUUAAAAAUGACGAAUCCAAGAUGGCGUCGUAAUAAGAGAAGCAGACGACAACACGGAGAAAAGUUUCGUUAAAGGCAUUUUAAUGUUUAUUAUGGACAUUCUAUUAAAUAUUUCGACUUCUGGAAAAGUGAGCAAAUUAAAAUUGUGUUUGUAAGCGCUCGGUAAAGCGAUUGUUCUAGAAAAAACAAAUCACCAACGUCAUGAGAAAUUCAAGAUGGCGUCGUGGGCGCGAAAACGCAGACGAUAAAUCUAUCAAUUAAUUAAUUAAAUUCUCGCUUAUACUUCAAAUAUUGACAAUUCUAUAAGACUGUAGCACGCUUACCUUACAUAUAUGCAUGCAAUUAUUUAACAAGUUUCAAUGCAGUGAUAAAUUCAAUAUGGCGUCCAAAUGAUUGGAGAAGACGACGAAAGGUUCAUCGCUUGUAUGCUGAAUUUCGAAUGUAGCAGAGCAAAUUUAAAUUAGAAUUAACCAGCAAAAGCUUCCCUGUUAGGGUGUCGUCUCGUCAGGGAACGAACGUGUUGGGGUUUGCUGUCGGGCAACGCGUUGUGAACGACGGCGUAGGCAUACUCGUGAGGAUCAGCAGAAAACAGAGGUACGGCAUCCUAAAUUAAAAUUUUGCAACAGCAAAGCCCAUUUCCAGACAGAAUGGUAAUCGGAGAUGAGAAAUGGUAUUAUAUACUAAUGUCAUUCGUAAAAGACAGUGACUAGAUCCAAAGGUUACUCAAGCUCCUGAACCAAAGUGUGGUCUUCAUCCUUGAAAGUUUCUUAUGUGUGAUGGAUUACAAAGAAAAUACUGCAUUGUGUCAAUGAAACAGUAAAUGCUCUCUGCGGUGUCAGCAAUUGAAGAAAAACAUUGUAAAGAACUCCGAGAAAUAUAUGAAAAAUAAAAAAUAACAUUCAAUCCCUUACUGUAGUAAUCAUACAACAAAAUUUGAAACAGCUUAAUUGGAAAAUUCUCCUUUGUCCCGAUAGGCCCAUCUGGCACGCACACAUUACUACCUCCUCCAAUCCCUUCGAAACAGUUUUAAUUCAAAAGAAGUUUUCCAUGUGCACAAAAAUGUUUCUUUAAAUCAAAAUCUGAUGAUUUUUUUUACAAGGCACUGAAAAACUGUCAGAAUUGACAGGAAAAAUGUCAUAUCUAAUGAAGAACAUUACAUAUUAGAUUAAACAAUUUUGCUUUUAAUAACAUCUACUAAAACUUAUACCAAUGAUAAAAAUAUGCCCACAUGCUUAUCUUUUGAAAUUUGGUUAUUAAUAAAAACUAAUCAAAUUCUUGGGAGUUUUCUCGACUGUCCUAGUUGAGUGGCUGGCUGCUGAAGGAAACCCAUCACAGAGAGGAAAACAGUUUCUAGAAUAAUUUUUUUAGAAGCCCCACCAAUAUAGUCACCAAUGCCACUAAAAAUAGAAGUCAGUUUCUAUUUUUAAUGCUGGAGACAGUUUUCUUUCCCAAAAAAGUACCACCACAAAGCCAAACAAACGUACUUACAAUAAAAUUAAAUUAGUUUACACUAUAACAACAACAUCAGAAAAAUAUUUACACACAAUUAUAUCACUAUACCCUCUUUAAAGAUUGCACAGUGUACUAUUCAAUAAUGAGAUAAACUGCCUAUUGUUAACAAUCUAUGAUUCAGAGAAAUGUUUGCACCUUGUCUCUUAGGAGAAAAUUGCCAUCUCAAAGUUUUAGCGCCAAAAGUUCUCCCGAAUACGGUACCAAAAAUAAACCCGAGGGAUUACUUUUGAACAGGGUAUAUUUGCAAUAAUAUCCAGUAAUUGUUAUAUAUAAUUAUCUCUUGUCUUUAGUUUUGUGUAUCUAGAAACUUGUGAAGUGAUGAGACAAUCUGCAUGAAAGGAAAAUAGAUGCUGGAUGAUCUUUGACAACUCUAUGGGCAGUGUCAUCCAACAUGAAACAUCAACAAUUUAAGAACUUGUUUUGAGAUGUCAAUUCAAAUAGCAACAGGUUGAGACCGUAGUAUGGAAAGACAGACCUCGACCAAAGUGCAAUAAGCAUACAAAAUCUGGCCUACGGCCUUCCUUGAUCAGAAAUUCUCUCUCUACUUGUUGCAUUUGAUUGGAUAAAACUAAGAUGUGCUGAGUGUAAGAAAAUGGCUUCUUUCGGCUUUAGCCUGUUACAAUUAAUGACCAAAUAUCUACUAUAUUGCACUGGCAUAUCAAGUAUGUGAAUCAUUUAAAUGACCAAUAUAUCAUGGUAUAUCAUGGUAAAAUAAUAUACCGAUCACAUAUAAUUAAAGUACAGAUUCCAAGGUUCUGCAAGAAAUGAUAGAAGAAAAACUGAAGCAUUGAAUGUUGCACAAAAAUUUAUUCUGCGACAUCCUUAAGUUAUAUUUAGCUUGAUAAAUAUGUGUUAUUCUUUUAACGAUUACAAAACAAAAUGUAAAAUUUAUGAGCAAAAAUCAUUAUUAAUAAGAAGAUUCAAGAAGCAAAUCAUUUAUAGUUGCAAAAUUAACUGCUCAAAAGAAACAAAAUGAAUAAUCGGACAAUUGACAUAAAUCGAACAAUGCUUAAUUGUUUAUUAUUAUUAUUAUUAUUAUUGGUAUUAUUUUACAAAGGAGUCAAAAGUUAAACCAGUAAAAUUCUUUACUAAUAGAUGCACAAAUGAUACAUUAUCAUGUUACAAUGUGAAAUGGCAUCAAUGCAUUAUUAUUAUUAUUAUUCUCACAAUAUUAGCUUAUAUUAAUUAAUGUUGAUACAUCAAAACGACGUGCUUUUGACGAUCAACUCCGAAAUAUAUUUUGGUACAUAUGCUGAAAUAAAAAAUUGCACGAAGGAACAUUGAGAUACAAAACAGCAAACAAUUCUAACAAUUUAUUGGUGUUUAAAGACAUCAAAU